rnacentral:rRNA from 1 species
CGCCUCUUGGAUACAAAAACAUAAGAGGUCCCGCCUGCCCAGUGACUAUAAGUUUAACGGCCGCGGUAUUUUGACCGUGCAAAGGUAGCGCAAUCACUUGUCCUUUAAAUGAAGACCUGUAUGAAUGGCACCACGAGGGCUCAACUGUCUCCUUUUUCCUGUCAAUGAAAUUGAUCUCCCCGUGCAGAAGCGGGGAUACUUACAUAAGACGAGAAGACCCUAUGGAGCUUUAGGCACUAGACUAGACUAUAUCAAGCACCCUUCUAUAAAAGACAAAACUAACUAGACCCUACUCCCUAUGCCUUUGGUUGGGGCGACCGCGGGGAAAGGAAAAACCCCCAUGUGGACUGAGAGCACACUUUACUCCCACAACCUAGGGCCACAGCCCUAAGAAACAGAACUUCUGACCAACAAAUGAUCCGGUAAAACCGAUCAACGGACCGAGUUACCCUAGGGAUAACAGCGCAAUCCCCUUUUAGAGCCCAUAUCGACAAGGGGGUUUACGACCUCGAUGUUGGAUCAGGACAUCCUACUGGUGCAGCCGCUAUUAAGGGUUCGUUUGUUCAACGAUUAAAGUCCU